rnacentral:rRNA from 1 species
CAGCCGCCACGGUAAUACGAAGGGGGCUAGCGUUGUUCGGAAUUACUGGGCGUAAAGCGCACGUAGGCGGAUAUUUAAGUCAGGGGUGAAAUCCCGCAGCUCAACUGCGGAACUGCCUUUGAUACUGGGUAUCUUGAGUAUGGAAGAGGUUAGUGGAAUUGCGAGUGUAGAGGUGAAAUUCGUAGAUAUUCGCAGGAACACCAGCGGCGAAGGCGGCUAACUGGUCCAUAACUGACGCUGAGGUGCGAAAGCGUGGGGAGCAAACAGGAUUAGAUACCCCCGUAGUCCCUGUCUCUUAUAC